ensembl:piRNA 21ur-13671 ncRNA
UAAAAGGAAUAGUCUCCAGUG